UACGUAGGGGGCUAGCGUUGUCCGGAAUCAUUGGGCGUAAAGAGCGUGUAGGCGGCCCGGUAAGUCCGCUGUGAAAGUCGGGGGCUCAACCCUCGAAAGCCGGUGGAUACUGUCGGGCUAGAGUGCGGAAGAGGCGAGUGGAAUUCCUGGUGUAGCGGUGAAAUGCGCAGAUAUCAGGAGGAACACCGAUUGCGAAGGCGGCAUCCUGGACCGGCAUUGACGCUGAGGCGCGAAAGCCAGGGGAGCAAACGGG
rnacentral:rRNA from 1 species